rnacentral:rRNA from 1 species
CGGAUUGGAGUCUGCAACCCGACUCCAUGAAGCUGGAUUCGCUAGUAAUCGCGCAUCAGCCACGGCGCGGUGAAUACGUUCCCGGGCCUUGUACACACCGCCCGUCAAGCCAUGGAAGCCGGGGGUGCCUGAAGUGUGCAGCCGCAAGGAGCGCCCUAAGGUAAAACCGGUGACUGGGGCUAAGUCGUAACAAGGUAUC